rnacentral:lncRNA from 1 species
GCAUCUUGGAACCCCCUCCACUGCUGGUGGGAAUGUAAGUUGGUGCAACCACUUUGGAAAACCAUCUGGCAAUCUUCACUAAAGCAGUUGGCAGGAGGCCAUACUUCCUUACCUUGUGGACUUCUCCAUAGCUACUUAGUGUCCCUGUGACAUGGCAGCCAGCUUCCCCUAGGGCUAGUCAUCCAAAAGGAAUCAAGGAGGAAGCCAUGAUGCAUUUAGGAACUAGUCACACACCAUCACCUCCACUGCAUGUAUUCAUUAGAAACAAGCCCCUAUGUCCAGCCAAUAGACUGGGUGCUUUUGGAGGGAGGAAUGUUGAAGGAUUUGUGGACAUAUUUUAAAACCACCACAGCACUCACUGGAAAAUGCUAAAAAGCAGGAAGAAAGAGAACAGAACCCAUCCGCAGUCCCAUAGCUAACAUACCAGAAUCUUUUCUUCUCGUCUUUUGGAAAGUGUAGGUCUGUGCACCUACAUAUUAAA